UACGAAGGGUGCAAGCGUUACUCGGAAUUACUGGGCGUAAAGCGUGCGUAGGUGGUGCGUUAAGUCUGUCGUGAAAGCCCCGGGCUCAACCUGGGAAUGGCGAUGGAUACUGGCGCGCUAGAGUGCGGUAGAGGAGAGUGGAAUUCCCGGUGUAGCAGUGAAAUGCGUAGAGAUCGGGAGGAACAUCAGUUGCGAAGGCGGCUCUCUGGACCAGCACUGACGCUGAAGCGCGAAAGCCAGGGGAGCGAACGGG
rnacentral:rRNA from 1 species